CUGCACAGCCACACAGCUGGGGAGUGGAAGGCUAGCCUUUGAACCCAGAUUUGUCAAAAAUCAAUACCCACAUUUUACCCCCUACCCUCAGCAGCCCCUCGUAGCACCACUGAGGUGAGGAGGGCAUUAGGGAGGAAGGAUGAGAGACUGACAGACUGACAGCCAGGGCAGGGCAGUGCGGGAGAGAACACAGGACUGUGGUCAAACAGACUCUGACCCAAGUCCCAGCUCUGCCCCUUUCUAGCCAUGUGACCUUUCUGGAGUCUGUGUCCUCACGUGUAAAAUGGGGUGACAGAAGAGCAGUUGUGGGUCCUGCGCAAGGCAGUUCGAUUUCUGUCUUCACCUGGAUCUCAUGAGGAAACUGAGGCCCUGAAUCCAUACCAGGCUCUGGGCUGGGCGCCAGGCAUGCAGUUGUGACACGGGGAUGGUCUUUGUUCCUCAGGACCCCAGAACUCCAGGAGGAUGCCGCUUUGACAAUUCAGAAGCCUUCACCGGUGAAAUGAAGCAGGAGAAGAUGUGGUCCUUAGGGUCACCCCACGGACCAGCUCCUCUCUCCCCAGUUCACUGACCCCUUGUCCACCCUCACGUCCAGCCAUGAGUCCACACGUGCAAUGUUUACCCGGACCAGAUGCUGUUCGUGCAUUGCCCCUAUUCCCUCGUUCUGAGGUCCCCUGCUCCGUAAUGACUGUCCCCACUGCAAAGGGGGAUACCCCCUAUCCUGUCCCCAGCCGUCACGUCUCCACUUCCCUGCCUGGAACUUUCUCUGGCACCGCAGGAGCCAACUUCCCACAGGAUACCCAGAAACGCCAGGGCCGGAAUGUCCACGGGGGCAGCCUUGACCCAGUGAUGGAUGGUGGCCAGUGACCAAACACUCCAGCCUACCGGUCACUGGGUAGGACGACUCUAGGCACACUGCUCACGGUCGCUCAGUGGACCCCCAGGGGGGCCGAGCCCCAGGUGCCCACUGGGUAGCCUGCUCCCUUUUCCCCCUUAUUGGCUUUUCCCUCUUCCCCGUCACACUUUCCCACUCACCCCUCCUUCCCUAGAUUAGCGCCUCCCGGAGAAGCCACGUGCUCCCAUCGUCUGCCCCAUGUCCCCCCACCCCGCUCACCUGCUCUCGCACUUGUCCAGACAGCAAAUAUGCACGGUACCCACUCUGCCGGACCCUCGUGAGAUAAGGGAGGCACAGCCCUGCCCUCGAGAGCCCGCUAACUUGCGUAGAUGGACACGGGCUCCUGGGGGCCACGACCUGUCCGCCAGGUGGGCUGGGACAAGGGGAGGGUAAGUGCUGAGCUAAGCCACUUCCUCAUCCAGUCGUGGGUCCCCACCCUUGGCUCUCUCCUGUGUGUAACUUUCCAAGGAAGCUUCCGGCAGCCUGGGCUGUGCGCGGCAGGCAGGCAGGAAGAACAAUAGUUAACAUUUGUGCUCGCCGCACUCGAGCUGCUCCACACAUAUUAAGCCCAUUCAUCUUCCCAUCCGCCCUGGGACGGAUACUCUUAAUCUGAACUCCAUUUUGCAGAUGGGGAAAGUGAGGGACCAAGAGGCUCCACCGAAGUGGUACAGGGACUCCACAACCAUGGGACACCCAGGGGAGAAGGAUGUCACCCAUUUGAAGAGAAAGGGAUUCAUCCACUUGAACGUGUUUGUUUUUUCACAACCAAGAGUUGUUGCUUUGAAGUGAGUCCAGACCGUGGCCGUGGGAGAAAAAGGAUUCACAAGAGAGUGUACGUGUGGGGGAUGCCUUUAUUAACCAAAGCAGGUCCUUGGCCUCUGAGCCAGAGAGCUGUUCUAAUUAAACAGAGAGUAACACGCCCCUAACAACAAUCAGAUGGGAAAACAAAUGUGUUUGUUUUGUCACAAGGAGAAAAGGAGCAAAAUAAAGCUAAAUGAAAAAGAAAAAAACUGGAAAUCAUCUCUUUGUCCCGUUUCCCCAAGUCUUGCACGUUUCUCUAAAGUUUUCUCACUUCCCUGAGCCUCUGUUUGCUCGUCUGUAAAUUGGGGGUGACAGCACCCAUCUCCAGGGUUAUUGUGGCAAUUAAAUAAGAUAACAUCUGUACAGCAUUGGGACCGGCUGUCGCCAUACCCCAGUUAGAGCUCCAGCCGUCACACUCUUUGGUAUUUACCAAAACGAUUUGAAAACUUCGGUCUGCACAAAACUUUAUAGCAGCUUUAUUCAUGACAGCCCAAACCUGGAAGCAACGAAGAUACCCUUCAGUAAGGGAAACGGAUAACCAAACUGUGGCCUAACCAGACAGCAGACUAU